rnacentral:rRNA from 1 species
UACAGAGGGGGCAAGCGUUAUUCGGAAUUAUUGGGCGUAAAGGGCGCGUAGGCGGUCGUGCAAGUGGAAGGUGAAAUCCCUCGGCUCAACCGAGGAACUGCCUUUCAAACUGCAUGACUUGAGUCCGGGAGAGGUGAGUGGAAUUCCCAGUGUAGCGGUGAAAUGCGUAGAUAUUGGGAGGAACACCAGUGGCGAAGGCGGCUCACUGGCCCGAUACUGACGCUGAGGCACGAAAGCGUGGGGAGCAAACAGG